rnacentral:rRNA from 1 species
UACGUAGGGCGCAAGCGUUGUCCGGAAUUAUUGGGCGUAAAGAGCUCGUAGGCGGUUUGUCGCGUCUGCUGUGAAAACCUAAGGCUCAACCUUGGGCUUGCAGUGGGUACGGGCAGACUAGAGUGCGGUAGGGGGUGACUGGAAUUCCUGGUGUAGCGGUGGAAUGCGCAGAUAUCAGGAGGAACACCGAUGGCGAAGGCAGGUCUCUGGGCCACUACUGACGCUGGAGAAGCGAAAGCCAUGGGGGAGCGAACAGG